rnacentral:rRNA from 1 species
CAAGUCGAGGGAGAACCCGGCAAGGGGGGACACCGGCGAACGGGGUAGGAUCAUCUCGGUGACGUACCCUCCGGACGGGGAUAGCCACGGGAAACUGUGGGUAAUACCCGAUGACCUGGCAGGCGAUUAGGGCUUGUCAGCAAAGGUGAGAUUCCACCGGAGGAGCGGCUGAGACGCUAUUAGCUUGUUGGUGAGGUAAUGGCUUACCAAGGCGACGAUGGCUAGGGGGUGUGAGAGCAUGGCCCCCACCACUGGCACUGAGACACUGGCCAGACACCUACGGGUGGCUGCAGUCGAGAAUCUUCGGCAAUGGGCGCAAGCCUGACCGAGCGACGCCGCGUGCGGGAUGAAGGUCUUCGGAUUGUAAACCGCUGUCGGAGGGGAUGAAGUGUAUGGGAGCAAUCUCCUGUAUUUGACAGAGCCUCGGAGGAAGCACGGGCUAAGUUCGUGCCAGCAGCCGCGGUAAUACGAACUGUGCAAACGUUAUUCGGAAUCACUGGG